CCUGGAUGUUUCAUACUUUGUAUAUAGAUACCUCAUGUUACGAGGUUUCUGUCAGUCACAUGUCCAAUGUCCUUGACCUCAUUUUCAUGGUUCACUGACCACUUAAAAAAAGUUCAGAUUUUUUGUAAUGUUGAAUUCUCUCUUAUUAUAAGUAAUACGAUAACUAUAUUUGGUAUGUGCGUACAUUGCAAGGUCCUCAUGCCCG
rnacentral:lncRNA from 1 species